rnacentral:rRNA from 1 species
UACGUAGGGUGCAAGCGUUAAUCGGAAUUACUGGGCGUAAAGCGUGCGCAGGCGGCUUUGCAAGACAGAUGUGAAAUCCCCGGGCUCAACCUGGGAACUGCAUUUGUGACUGUAGAGCUGGAGUGCGGCAGAGGGGGAUGGAAUUCCGCGUGUAGCAGUGAAAUGCGUAGAUAUGCGGAGGAACACCGAUGGCGAAGGCAAUCCCCUGGGCCUGCACUGACGCUCAUGCACGAAAGCGUGGGGAGCAAACAGG